rnacentral:SRP_RNA from 1 species
GCCGGGUUCAGUGGCGGCGCCUGUAAUCCAAGCUACCGGGAGGCUGAGGCUGGCGGAUCGCUUGAGUUCAGGGCUUCUUCUGGGCUGCAGUGGACUAUGUCGAUCGGGUGUCCGCACUAAGUUCGGUAUCGAUAUGGUGCUCCUGGGGGAGCUCGGGACCACCAGGUCGUCUAAGGAGGGGUGAACCGGCCCAGGUCGGAGACGGAGCAGGUCAAAGCCCCCGUGUCGAUCAGUAGUGGGAUUGCGCCUGUGAAUAGACACUGCAGUGCAGCCUGAGCGAGACAGCGAGACCCAGACUUU